rnacentral:rRNA from 1 species
UACGAAGGGGGGCUAGCGUUGCUCGGAAUCACUGGGCGUAAAGCGCACGUAGGCGGCUUUUUAAGUCAGGGGGUGAAAUCCUGGAGCUCAACUCCAGAACUGCCUUUGAUACUGAGAAGCUUGAGUCCGGGAGAGGUGAGUGGAACUGCGAGUGUAGAGGUGAAAUUCGUAGAUAUUCGCAAGAACACCAGUGGUGAAGGCGGCUCACUGGCCCGGUACUGACGCUGAGGUGCGAAAGCGUGGGGAGCAAACAGGG